GAGAAGAUGAGAGUGGUCAGCUAAAUAAUCAGAGGGCGACCGUACCGGCAUAGCUGAACCGUUGAAAUUACCCUCCUACAGAUAAUCACAGCUCCUCUGUAGCGGACAAGCUACCUCAUCCACAACAUCUGCUGCCUCAAUUCCAAGAUCUGGUUGCUGCCUCUACAAAUCUCGCCAACGGGUUAGUCAUUUGCCUGAAUCCUUCCUUGACGGAAUCCUCAAUAGAUAAAGCCGCUCCAGUCCCUUCCAAAUAUAUCCUUUGAUUUCAACAAAUUUAAGUAGCAUAUGGAAAGGAGUUCAAACGAGCUCGGCGUCAUGUUGGAGGUGGGGAGAACUCGAAGCAAAUGAGUCUAGACGAGCUUGUUAUAUUGUGCCACCACGGAAACAACUUGAUGCAAUGGUUUGGACAGGUUUGUACUUACAAGGGGUACUCCUUUUUUUCUUCUUUUUUACAAUUUUGUCGAUAUUAUGGUGGCAUUUUGGAGGCUUUUGAAUUUUCUGUUAAUUUCAGAAUAUCAGGUAGUAGGUCAUUGCAGUAGUUAAAACAUCAUUUAUCUUAGAUCCUCACUCGAGGUUAUUACUUUUGAGUUUCACAUGGUAGGUUAUUUAUAAAUUGAAUUUUGGGAAAUCAUGAUGCUAAAUAUAUGGAUUGUGUUAGUUAGCUAAUCAACUAGCACUUGGCUGUGUAUGAUGUCAUUAUGGCAAUGAAAAUACAUUUUCAAACUGAUAGUAUUUGUGUUGUUUAGUUUUGAUGGAGAGUAUAGCAGCAUGCUCAAUGUCUUCCGCUUUAUGUAUGAGAUCGGGUUCAUUUUUCUUGCUUAUAAUAAUUACCUAAAUACAUACAUGGGCAUUUAAAAAUAUCUUUGCAAUUAUGCCACGUGUGAAAAAAUUUCAAAGAUGAUGAUAUAAAGUGGUGGCUGAUUUUCUAAUUCGUGUUUGCCUCAUGGAUUCUUAUUUAUCUCAACUUCCAUUUACUCAAGACAAUAACAACUUUGGUAGAGAAACUUCUAUUUUGUUCUUUUCUUUGUUAUAUGAUACAACACAAGAAACCUGAUUUAUUCACGAAAAUGGUUGGUUUGAAGCUCGAAAGCUCAUACCGAGUUGGCUUUUUUCCCAGCUUCAUGACGAAGUAAAAGAAGAGCUUAUGACAGAAGAAACAUGAUUGGUUGGGCGUCCUUGCCAGCGACCUCGCAGUCUCCAACCCACCCAUAGGUAUUGCAGCUCCUUCCAAUCCAGUUUACUCCUUUUUGAUAAUUUCCUUACUUGAGCCUUAGAGAUAGGCACUGAAUCGGCUAUUGCUCGGAGAAUUUCCUUUUAACACAUACUCGAGGGAAGGAGGAUCUUUAGUAUUUUGAAUUAUCAGUUAAAUUUGGUUAGUUGUGAGAUGCUUAUGAUUCUGGCUUCAUUCACAACCAUUCAUAUGGUUUAUUCGGUUUGGUUGGUCGCUGUUGGUACUUGCAUGCCAUCUGAUUAUGUGGUAGAAUGUGCUUCCGAACUGUGCGUGGGGCCGGGUGUUGUCAGCCAGACCUGGGCGUCCUCGCCGGCGACUUGCUAUCUAACCCAUCCGUAGGUUUCCUGUCUCUUUGAUAUUCAUGUCCAUGUCCAUGAUUUGGUCUAUCUUGGUUAGCUCUAUUUAUUUCACUGUCAUUGCACAAACUUUGUUAUUAUGUAUACUGCAGCACUGAGCUUUCAAUUAUUUUACCCAGUUUAACACAUACUCGAGGGAAGGAGGAUAUAACGGUGCAAUGGAUGGACUAUCAAGAGGUCAAUCGUGAGAGUAUAUGCCAACUAUCUUAGGUGCAUAUGGCAUGAUACUAACGACCCGUGCAGUUCCUCCCUGAAUGUUUGCUUGCUGACUGCGAGGCGGCCUUCUUCCAUCAGAUAUUGUUGUGCAUUGAUAAUUUUGUUAGUUCUCAUACUCCCUGUUCAAAAAAAAUUCUAGCAUAUUACGUGUUGUAUGUAUAUAAGAAGCUUCGUCGUGUGUCAUGCUUUGCAAAUAAAACUCAUUCAAAUAUUAUUGGCAGC
rnacentral:lncRNA from 1 species